rnacentral:rRNA from 1 species
UACUUGUUCUUUUUAAAAUCUUGUAGGCAGGCUAUCUUUUGUUAGAGCGAGUAAAAUUUUUGGUGAAAUAAGAAUUAGUUAUGUGUCACUAUAAAAAGGUCAGGCUUUUUGGAACCGGGAUUAGAGACCCCGCUACUUAUUAUAAUGUCUAAGGAUUAGAUAUAGAAAUCAUAUGGUUUGGCGGCCAAACUGAUUUAGAGGAGUUUGCUUAUAAUCGACGGGUCUCGUUAGCUCUUGCCGGCCUAAUUUAUGUACACCGUCAUUUAGUUAAUUUUAUAAGAAAAAUUAAGGAAAUUAGUCGAGUAAGCUAGAUCAAGGUGCAGAGUGGGUGGGACUAAGUUAACUACAAUAUAAAAUUAUACAUCGGCACGGGUAUGUGUCCGUUAAUAAGUGGAUUUAAGAGUAAUUAUUUAUGUUUGAUCUAAUAGGGUUGGUGUACAAAUUGCCCGUCAAUCUCUAAGAG